CCUACGGGCGGCAGCAGUGGGGAAUAUUGCACAAUGGGCGCAAGCCUGAUGCAGCCAUGCCGCGUGUGUGAAGAAGGCCUUCGGGUUGUAAAGCACUUUCAGCGGGGAGGAAGGCGUUAAGGUUAAUAACCUUGUCGAUUGACGUUACCCGCAGAAGAAGCACCGGCUAACUCCGUACCAGCAGCCGCGGUAAUACGGAGGGUGCAAGCGUUAAUCGGAAUUACUGGGCGUAAAGCGCACGCAGGCGGUCUGUCAAGUCGGAUGUGAAAUCCCCGGGCUCAACCUGGGAACUGCAUUCGAAACUGGCAGGCUAGAGUCUUGUAGAGGGGGGUAGAAUUCCAGGUGUAGCGGUGAAAUGCGUAGAGAUCUGGAGGAAUACCGGUGGCGAAGGCGGCCCCCUGGACAAAGACUGACGCUCAGGUGCGAAAGCGUGGGGAGCAAACAGGAUUAGAUACCCGUGUAGUC
rnacentral:rRNA from 1 species